GUGCUUGCUUCAGCAGCACAUAUACUAAAAUUGGAACGUUACAGAGAAGAUUAGCAUGGCCCCUGCGCAAGGAAGCGUUCCAUAUUAAAAAAAAAAAUAACAGCAAC